GAUGAACGCUGGCGGCGUGCCUAAUACAUGCAAGUCGAGCGAACGGACGCGAAGCUUGCUUCUCUGAUGUUAGCGGCGGAGGGGUGAGUAACACGUGGAUAACCUACCUAUAAGACUGGGAUAACUUCGGGAAACCGGAGCAAAUACCGGAGAAUAUUUUGAACCGCAUGGUUCAAAAGUGAAAGACGGUCUUGGUGUAACUUAUAGAUGGAUCCGCGCUGCAUUAGCUAGUUGGUAAGGUAAAGGCUUACCAAGGCAACGAUGCAUAGCCGACCUGAGAGGGGGAUCGGCCACACUGGAACUGAGCCACGGUCCAUGCUCCUACGGGAGGCAGCAGUAGGGAAUCUUCCGCAAUGGGCGGAAGCCUGACGGAGCAACGCCGCGUGAGUUAUGAAGGUCUUCGGAUCGUAAAACUCUGUUAUUAGGGAAGAACAUAUGUGUAAGUAACUGUGCACAUCUUGACGGUACCUAAUCAGAAAGCCACGGCUAACUACGUG
rnacentral:rRNA from 1 species